rnacentral:misc_RNA from 1 species
GAUGAAGAACGCAGCGAAAUGCGAUAGGUAAUGUGAAUUGCAGAAUUCAGUGAAUCAUCGAAUCUUUGAACGCACAUUGCGCCCCUUGGUAUUCCGAGGGGCAUGCCUGUUCGAGCGUCAUUAUAACCCCUCAAGCUCAGCUUGGUGUUGGGGCCUGCUGCACUGGCAGCCCUUAAAAUCAGUGGCGGCGCCGUCUGGCUCUAAGCGUAGUAAUUCUUCUCGCUAUGGAGUCCUGGUGGAUGCUUGCCAUCAACCCCCAAUUUUUCUAUGGUUGACCUCGGAUCAGGUAGGGAUACCCGCUGAACUUAAGCAUAUCAAUAAGCGGAGGA